GUAGUACUCCCUCCGUCCAGAAUUACUUGUCGAAGAAAUCGUUAAAAACGGAUGUAUCUAGAACUAACAUAUGUCUAAUACAUCCAUUUCUCCAAUAAGUACUUCCGGACGGAGGGAGUUCUGG
rfam:Triticum aestivum genome assembly, contig: Triticum_aestivum_CS42_TGACv1_scaffold_500652_6BL